rnacentral:pre_miRNA from 1 species
UCUUACGGAUGAGCAAAGAAAGUGGUUUCUUGGGAUGGAAUCAACCCCCUAGUGAACAUGCUGUGAG